CCUACGGGAGGCAGCAGUGAGGAAUAUUGGUCAAUGGCCGAGAGUCUGAACCAGCCAAGUCGCGUGAGGGAAGACGGCCCUACGGGUUGUAAACCUCUUUUGUCGGGGAGCAAAGCGAGUCACGUGUGACUCCUUGAGAGUACCCGAAGAAAAAGCAUCGGCUAACUCCGUGCCAGCAGCCGCGGUAAUACGGAGGAUGCGAGCGUUAUCCGGAUUUAUUGGGUUUAAAGGGUGCGCAGGCGGAGGUGCAAGUCAGCGGUCAAAUUGCGGGGCUCAACCCCGUCCUGCCGUUGAAACUGCAGCCCUUGAGUGCGCGAGAGGUGUGCGGAAUUCGUGGUGUAGCGGUGAAAUGCUUAGAUAUCACGAAGAACUCCGAUUGCGAAGGCAGCUCACUGGACUGCAACUGACACUGAGGCUCGAAAGUGUGGGUAUCAAACAGGAUUAGAUACCCGGGUAGUC
rnacentral:rRNA from 1 species